rfam:Strigomonas culicis Cont7823, whole genome shotgun sequence.
AUGCUCUGUCACCUUCGGGGGCUUGAAUGCUCGAGUGGGGAUUACCUGGAUUAGCGAGGGCGUUCGCUGCGUUGACAUGGUGCUCUGCUUGGCUGUGUGUCGGUGCUCUGUGCGCCACUGUAGAGAGGCAGUGCGGACACCGUUAAAGUUAAGGCAAUGGAUCAGGCCGGGAACGGAACAAUCCACCUUGCGCACGUCGGCCGUUGUAGAAACACACCGUGGAGCAGAUCGGCGUCUGAGCCCCAGGGGUCG